rnacentral:rRNA from 1 species
UACGUAGGGGGGCGAGCGUUACCCGGAUUUACUGGGCGUAAAGCGCGUGUAGGCGGCUGGCCAAGUGUGGUGUGAAAUCUCCCGGCUCAACCGGGAAACUGCAUCGCAAACUGGUCUGGCUAGAGUGCAGGAGAGGGAAGUGGGAAUCCCCGGGGUGUAGCGGUGAAAGCGUAGAUAUCCGGGGGAACACCAGUGGCGAAGGCGACUCCUGGCCUGUAACUGACGCUGGAGACGCGAAAAGCGUGGGGAGCGAACCGG